GUUUGUUCAUUUCCUGUUGUAAGAGGGAAGGAUUCAUAAACGACAACCAGCCCCUGAACUCUGCCUUCUGAAUCCCAAUUCCCAAGCCAACUUGGAGAACGUCCAGCGUCUCUUCUAAUCAAGAACUAUGUGACAUCUCCUAUUUUGAAGAAACUUUGUUAAGUUGAUCAGAUGAUUUACAUGUGAUCACAGAUGUUACAAAAUCUAAAUGCCCCGCCUGGGUCGCCCAGGUUCUUGAAGGACUUCUGAAAAAGCCCCGUGCUCCUUUCCCCCGUGAUCCUGCUCACAUCCUCCCUCCCCACCAGCCCAGUGAGAAAACUGAUGGCAUUUCUGGUCAACACCCAGAGGAGAGAGAGGGACAUAAACUAUCCAGCCUUCGGAGCCAAGGAAAGUGUGAAGAGAUCAGUACCCAGUUUUGGGAAAUGACACCAACAUGGUCCCCAAACCUAGUCUAGACUUCGGAGAAGGGAGAAUCAGAGAAAGUUUCGCAGAGGAGGUGAAAUUUGAAUUGGACCUGAGAAAUAAGGAGUCCUCAAGCCUGAAAGCCAAGGAGAAGAAGAUCAGGAAGAGGAAUCAGCUGGAACCGAGGCCUAGCAGCAUUCUAGACACAGCAGGUUCAAGGAUGGUCUGGCGUUUGGUGUGAUUGGAGCUCAGAUGAGGAAGUUGAGGUCCAGGUGUUUACGCAACUUGCUCAAGGUCACGCAGCCGGAUGGGUGGAUUUCAAGCCAGGUAGUCUGGCUCCACAGCCCAGAUCCUGAACUGCAGUUUCAGCACAGCUGGAGAAAAACAAAGAACAAAAAACCAAUGAGAACUGUGAGGAAGUAUGGGAAGGGUUUCGAGUAGAGGAGUUGUCAGACCCUGUGAGCAAGCUCCCUCUGGCUGCUGCUGGGCAUGGAUUGUGCGAACAGCGGACGAGUGCCUGCUACAAUAACCCAGAGGAGAGACGAGAGGGCCUUGGACCUGAAAGAAGAGCGGAGUCCAUGUCUGGACAGCACGGAGAGCAGAGGCUGCCAAAGAGACAGCCAACAUCUACAUCACAAAAGAGCCAUGGCCAACGGAGAAAGCGGAAAGAAUGCACACUGCCCUGUACUACGUGGAGAAGGAGCCAGCAAGCAGUAUGAGUGCAACAAGUUUAGACCUAUAAAGCAAAUGUGCAAACUGAAACUCAAGGUGUAGUCUGAAGGAGAGACGAAGAGGAGGUAUGCAGGGAAGGAGGGAGACCGGACAUCCAGGCCCUCAGCCGGCAUUUGCCCCAGAAGGAGGGGAAAACUCAUUACCACUCGACAGCUGCUCCAUCGUCUGUAAAAAGUUAAGGGUUCAAACCUCUUGCCAGUGACCAGAUGUCCCCGGCUUCACGUGUUACGGAGUGGUCAGUAAUUGACUCGCAAGUGUGACGACGACAGUUCAUGUGAGAGAAGCUGCAGGAGGUAAGUGGGACUGCACACAGAGCGCCUCGCUCAGACACAGUUUGCUUUAAGGAUACAACUGUGUAUGUAUGAAUUUAUAAAGCAUUUAAGCUAAAGGGACUAAAGACUAAAGGAAACCUAAAGGAGAGAAAACAGUUAAUGCGUCACAAUGAUAGAAUGCAGUGAAAUAGCUUUUUAAAGUUUUCUCUUAUCGUUGUGCUUUAGAUGUCUUAUACUAAAAACCGAGAGAGAAAAAUAGGCAAGUUUGGUGAAAAAAACUUAUUUUGUGACAUCACUGCAUGAGCAGGAGAUUCCUGGGCCCAGG
ensembl:lncRNA